rnacentral:lncRNA from 1 species
UGUAUGGACUGAAGCUGGUGAUUUGCCUUCCAAUGAAAAGAGAGAAUAGAAAUGGGGAAGUCAUAACUGCACAGGAGAGAAAUUGGCCUGACUCUUUAUGGACUAAUGAGAGUUACCAUCUUCAUCAUAAGUCACGUCAAGUGACUUAUCAUGGAGGAGUAUUCCCUGUGCCUUUAUAUGUUUCUUGUCAAAAAUUGCAAAGUUCUAAAUUAAUCAUGGAAAAAUUCUUAGAAAAAACCAAAUUGAAGUAUAUUCUACAAAACAUCUGCCCACUGCUCUUCAUGGAUCAAGGCCAUAACCAUAACAACAGAAAUAUGAAUAAAGUCUUCAAGAUCAGAGCAGAUUAACAAGAUAUAAUUAUUGACAACACUUGGUUUGGAGCUACAUAUAAUAAAAAAGAAACUUCUUGGGCAAAGAAAAGGAAUGGGGACUGUUGGGAGCGUGAAGGUCCUUGUGCCCAUGGAUCUCCAAGGAGAUCAGAAUAUUACACACCUGGUUGUCCUUCCAAAAGGAAGGACAUAAAAAAUCUAUUUGGUUCCCAGAAAGCUGGGAACUGGAGAUCUGCAUUACCU